UGCACAUUCGAUGUCUACAUAUUACUGAGUU
rnacentral:piRNA from 1 species